rnacentral:lncRNA from 10 species
AGGUCAGCCACCUGCAGCCAAGGAGAGAGGCCUCUGAGGAAACCAACCCUGCCAGCACUUUGAUCUUGAACUUCCAGCCUCCAGAACUGUGAGAAAGUAUAUUCCUGUUGUUUAAGCCACCCAGUCUAUGGCAUUUUGUUUUGGCAGCUUUAGCAGACUAAUAUACUUCCCCAUUCCCCCACAGUGCUUCCUGGGGUCAAUUCUCAGAUAAAUGAUUUGCACUUUAAUCCUUAUCUCAGGGGCCAGGUGGGAGGGGGCUCACGCCUGUAAUCCCAGCACUUUGGGAAGCCGAGGUGGGCAGAUCACCUGAGGUCAGGAGUUCAAGAGCAGCCUGACCAACAUAGUGAAACAUCGUCUCCACUAACUUUACAAAAUGUAGCUGGGUGGGGCGGCACAUUGCUGUAGUCCCAGCUACUCAGGAGGCUGAGGCAGGAGAAUCCCUUGAACCCGGGAGGUGGAGGUUGCAGUGAACUGAGAUCGUGCCACUGCACUACAGCCUGGGUGACAGAGUGACUUCGUCUAAAAAAAAAAAAAUUAUCUCAGGAAACCAACUCGCAGACCAACAACGCAUAUAUGGUGGGACAUAGACCCCAAGUAAGAGUGAAGCGAAGACUCAACUUUAACCACCACCCUCUAAGUUUCUUUUGAGGAGCUUGGAGAACGUCACUCCCUGUGGGUCUAAGUGGUACAGGCGCUAAAAAAUUAUUUAGGCAGAUAGUGAGGGUAAGGAAGUCCUCGGCUGUUUCCCUUUUAACAAAAAGCAGUCCCUAAAUCAUUUAUUUUCUAACAAAGAGCAGCCUGUAAAAUCGAGCUGCAGACAUAGAUAAGCAAGCUGGAAGCUUGCAUGGGUGAAUGCAGCAGCUGUGCCAAUAGGAAAAGGCUACGUGGCGGCCAGGCAUGUUCAACAUGGCGGCUCCAUCUUCCCUUUUCUUUGUCAACUAGGUGUACAGUAAGGAACCGACAACAUCACACCGGCCAGGUAGAGAAGCCAUUUGCAUAAUAGAAGAUUAGGGUGGGGUGGCCAGCUUCUUUGCGCGCUUUGUAAACAUCACACCUAGUCCACCAAUCUUUGGGCCCUAUGUAAAUUAGACAACACCUCCUCAAGCCAGUCUAUAAACCCUCCCCUCCCCGCACAUGCAUUUCACCGCAAAACCCAAAGACCCACUUAGGUGUCCCCUCUCUCCGCAGAAGAGAGAGCUUUUCCCUUUCUCUCUGUUAAACCUCUUCUCUUAAACUCACUUCUUGCGUGUCCUCGUCCUCGAUUUCCUUGGCGUAAGACGACGAACCUCAGGCAUUUACCCCAGACAACGAAGGUGCUUCAUAAGGUCAUGCAGCUGGUUGGCUUCAUCCUUAGGCUGCCUCUACAGUGGAAACAAGAUGGUGGCUACAUAUUCAGAAGAAGAGUGACAUCUUCUCUUCCACGCACCCCCUUGAAGCUCAUUGGCUCUAACUGGUUAUGUGUGAAUCUUUAAACUGUGGCUUGGGGGAUUAGACUGAUUAGCUGAUUGGCUUCAGGGAGUUGAUACCCAUUCCUGGAGUUAGGGAUGGGGUCAUUCCCAAUCAAUUAUAUGGCAGACAUUUGGGGGAGGGAUGUUCCUCCAAAGGGAAACUGGCUUGUAAUUACCCGAAAGGCAGCCAAAACAACAGAUGUCCACUACAGAGAAUGUGUUUGAAGGAUGAGUUAAUUGGACCUAAUUAUGGCCCAAUUUUUAUUUGUUUUUUUUGAAAUGAUGAGUUGAUUCCUUCUGAUGAUAGAUGAGCUAAUCACCAUUUCUGGUAGUUUUCGUUCAUAUCCCACUUAGUUGACUCCUAGAGUUUUCUUUUAUUGCUUUGCCCAUACCAAUGAAUGCUUUCUCCCCCAUUACAUCUUCAGUGUCUCACCCAAAACUGAGCUCAUAGUUUCAAGUCAAAGCAGAAUACAGGAGCUGUGAUUCUCAUUCAGAGUGUUUUUUUUGUCUCCAAAGCCUAAAGACACUCCAAAGAGUCAGUGUCUUUCUGACCUGUAAGUUCAUGUUACACGUGCAGACAGAACUUGUAUGUGGUGAUCAGACACCCCCAAACAAAUGCAUUGAAGGGGAAUCUAGUUGGAGUCUAUUUAUUUAUUUCGAGACAGAGUCUCCCUCUGUCACCCAGGAUGGAGUGCAGUGGUGUGAUCUCGGCUCACUGCAACCCUCACCUCCCAAGUUAAAGCAAUUCUCGUGCCUCAGCCUCCCGAGUAGCUGGAAUUACAGGCUUGUGCCACUGCACCACUAAAAAUACUAAUUUUUGUAUUUUUAGCAGAGAUGGGGUUUCACCGUGUUGGCCAGGCUGGUGCUGAACUCCUGAUCUCAAGUGAUCCGCCACCCUUGGCCUUCCAAAGUGCUGGAAUUACAGGCAUGAGCCAUUACGCCUGGCCUGCAUAUUUUUGAACUUGUAGUAUUUGUCUUUGAAAUAGCAGUGAGCUUUUUGAUUCCAAAGUUUUUGAUAUAAGUGCAUGUGUGUGUGUGUGUCUGUGGGUGAAAGAGAGAGAGAGAGAUUGGGAGAGAGAGAGAGAGAGAUUGGGAGAGAAAGAGAGAGAGAGAGAGGAAGGACAAGGGUCAGGUAAGUGUGUCCUGUCUCCCUCCCUCUGGAUCAAAACUCCUGCUGGGUGGGGUGAGAAUGUGUAGUAGCAAAAACUGGAGACAUAUGGGGGAAUCCUCAAGCAGUGGGGUAUGGGCCCCAGUCCCCAUUUGAGACUCUGGGAUGCAAAUGAGUCAUCGGAAGCCCUGCACCAGCACAGAGUGGCUGCAUUAGAGGAACACUGGUGGUGUCGUGUGUUUAUGUAGAGAGGGCUUUCACUGGUGCCUUGGGUCUCUGUCAAUUCCUGAGUGCCUGGGAAUACCUCCAGCACUCCCCUCCACCAUUACCAAGAGAGACAAAGAAAGUAAUUGAAUGUACUAGCUGUCUUUUUAUUUUUUAUUUUUAGUUUUUUA